ACCUAAGUGGCUCAGUUGGUUGAGCGUCUGUCUUCGGCUCAGGUCAUGAUCUCACAGUUCGUGGGUUCGAGCCCCGCGUCAGGCU
rnacentral:tRNA from 1 species